AGCAGCAGCCACGGGAAUACAGAGGGUGCGAGCGUUAAUCGGAUUUACUGGGCGUAAAGCGUGCGUAGGCGGCUUUUUAAGUCGGAUGUGAAAUCCCUGAGCUUAACUUAGGAAUUGCAUUCGAUACUGGGAAGCUAGAGUAUGGGAGAGGAUGGUAGAAUUCCAGGUGUAGCGGUGAAAUGCGUAGAGAUCUGGAGGAAUACCGAUGGCGAAGGCAGCCAUCUGGCCUAAUACUGACGCUGAGGUACGAAAGCAUGGGGAGCAAACAGGAUUAGAUACCCCGGUAGUCCCUGUCUCUUAUAC
rnacentral:rRNA from 1 species